GCCGGGGUGGCGAAACUGGCAGACGCACGAGACUUAAAAUCUUGUGGCCGCAAGGCCGUGCGGGUUCGACUCCCGCCCCCGGCACCA
rnacentral:tRNA from 1 species